UGGGGAAUAUUGGACAAUGGGCGCAAGCCUGAUCCAGCCAUGCCGCGUGUGUGAAGAAGGCCUUUCGGUUGUAAAGCACUUUAAGCGAGGAGGAGGCUACUGAGAUUAAUACUCUUGGAUAGUGGACGUUACUCGCAGAAUAAGCACCGGCUAACUCUGUGCCAGCAGCCGCGGUAAUACAGAGGGUGCGAGCGUUAAUCGGAUUUACUGGGCGUAAAGCGUGCGUAGGCGGCUUCUUAAGUCGGAUGUGAAAUCCCUGAGCUUAACUUAGGAAUUGCAUUCGAUACUGGGAAGCUAGAGUAUGGGAGAGGAUGGUAGAAUUCCAGGUGUAGCGGUGAAAUGCGUAGAGAUCUGGAGGAAUACCGAUGGCGAAGGCAGCCAUCUGGCCUAAUACUGACGCUGAGGUACGAAAGCAUGGGGAGCAAACAGG
rnacentral:rRNA from 1 species